CUAAUACCGCAUAAAUUCCGCCUUGGAGAGGGGCAAUCAAAGCCAGGACCGCAAGGCCUGCACUCGAGGAGGGGCCCGCGUCCGAUUAGCUAGUUGUGAGGUAACGGCUCACCAAGGCGACGAUCGGUAGCCGGCCUGAGAGGGCGGACGGCCACACUGGGACUGAGACACGGCCCAGACUCCUACGGGAGGCAGCAGUGGGGAAUUGUUCGCAAUGGGCGCAAGCCUGACGACGCAACGCCGCGUGGAGGAUGAAGAUCUUCGGGUCGUAAACUCCUGUCGAGCGGGACGAACACUUUGAGGGUUAACAGCCCUCGAGGCUGACGGUACCGCUAAAGGAAGCCCCGGCUAACUGCGGGCCAGCAGCCGCGGUAAUUCAGCGUGGACAAGCGUUAUUCGUAAUUGCUUUGGUUAAACUGUUCAUGGGCGUCCGACUAAAUCAUACUCAUCAUCCCUGGGGUGAUGCGUGGACAGGCUUGCGCUCAUGGUGAACAAUUCUCCAGUGGUGCCUCCCGUAGGAGUCUGGUGCCGUGUCUCAGUGCCAGUGUGUCCGUCCGACCUCUCAGGCCGGCUACCGAUUGUCGCCCUGGCGAGCCGUUACCUCACCAACUAGCUAAUCGGACGCGGGCCCCUCCUCGAGUGCCAGGCCUUGCGGUCCCUGGCUUUGAUUGCCGCCUCUCCAAAGGCGGAAUGUUAUGCGGUAUUAGCACCCCUUUCGGGAUGUUAUCCCCCGCUCGAGGGUAGGUCACCCACGCGUUACUCACCCGUUUGCCACUCUACUCAGGGCCGAAGCCCCUUUCGCGUUCG
rnacentral:rRNA from 1 species